rnacentral:rRNA from 1 species
GACGUAGGGCGCGAGCGUUGUCCGGAUUUAUUGGGCGUAAAGAGCUCGUAGGCGGCUUGUCGCGUCGACUGUGAAAUCCCGCGGCUCAACCGCGGGUCUGCAGUCGAUACGGGCAGGCUAGAGUUCGGUAGGGGAGACUGGAAUUCCUGGUGUAGCGGUGAAAUGUGCAGAUAUCAGGAGGAACACCGAUGGCGAAGGCAGGUCUCUGGGCCGAUACUGACGCUGAGGAGCGAAAGCGUGGGGAGCGAACAGG